rnacentral:rRNA from 1 species
UACAGGGGGGGCAAGCGUUGUUCGGAAUUACUGGGCGUAAAGGGCCAGUAGGCGGCCAACUAAGUCACACGUGAAAUCCCCAGGCUUAACCUGGGAACUGCGUGUGAUACUGGAUGGCUUGAAUUCGGGAGAGGGAUGCAGAAUUCCAGGUGUAGCGGUGAAAUGCGUAGAUAUCUGGAGGAACACCAGCGGCGAAGGCGGCGCUCUGGGCCGGAACUGACGCUGAGGAGCGAAAGCGUGGGUAGCAAACAGG